rnacentral:rRNA from 1 species
ACGGAAGGCAGCAGUGGGGGAUAUUGCACAAUGGGGGAAACCCUGAUGCAGCGACGCCGCGUGAGUGAAGAAGUAUUUUGGUAUGUAAAGCUCUAUCAGCAGGAAAGAUAAUGACGGUACCUGACUAAGAAGCACCGGCUAAAUACGUGCCAGCAGCCGCGGUAAUACGUAUGGUGCAAGCGUUAUCCGGAUUUACUGGGUGUAAGGGGAGCGCAGACGGCAUGGCAAGCCAGAUGUGAAAGGCAGGGGCUCAACUCCUGGACUGCAUUUGGAACUGUCAAGCUAGAGUAUCGGAGAGGUAAGUGGAAUUCCUAGUGUAGCGGUGAAAUGCGUAGAUAUUAGGAGGAACACCAGUGGCGAAGGCGGCUUACUGGACGAUAACUGACGUUGAGGCUCGAAAGCGUGGGGAGCAAACAGGAUUAGAUACCCUGGUA